rnacentral:rRNA from 1 species
AUUGAACGCUGGCGGCAGGCCUAACACAUGCAAGUCGAACGGUAACAGAAAGCAGCUUGCUGCUUUGCUGACGAGUGGCGGACGGGUGAGUAAUGUCUGGGAAACUGCCUGAUGGAGGGGGAUAACUACUGGAAACGGUAGCUAAUACCGCAUAACGUCGCAAGACCAAAGAGGGGGACCUUCGGGCCUCUUGCCAUCGGAUGUGCCCAGAUGGGAUUAGCUAGUAGGUGGGGUAACGGCUCACCUAGGCGACGAUCCCUAGCUGGUCUGAGAGGAUGACCAGCCACACUGGAACUGAGACACGGUCCAGACUCCUACGGGAGGCAGCAGUGGGGAAUAUUGCACAAUGGGCGCAAGCCUGACGCAGCCAUGCCGCGUGUAUGAAGAAGGCCUUCGGGUUGUAAAGUACUUUCAGCGGGGAGGAAGGGAGUAAAGUUAAUACCUUUGCUCAUUGACGUUACCCGCAGAAGAAGCACCGGCUAACUCCGUG